rnacentral:rRNA from 1 species
GACGAACCGUGCGAACGUUAUUCGGAAUCACUGGGCUUAAAGCGCGUGUAGGCGGAUGGGCGCAUCGAUCGCUGAAAUCCCCCGGCUCAACCGGGGAACUGGCGUCGAGAUGGCCCGUCUCGAGGGGGGUAGGGGGACCUGGAACUUCCGGUGGAGCGGUGAAAUGCGUUGAGAUCGGAAGGAACGCCCGUGGCGAAAGCGAGGUCCUGGACCCUUUCUGACGCUGAGACGCGAAAGCCAGGGGAGCAAACGGGAUUAGAUACCCCGGUAGUCCUGGCUGUAAACGAUGAGCACUGGGUAGGGGGCUCGCCGAUGGGCUCCCUGCCGCAGGGAAACCGUGAAGUGCUCCGCCUGGGGAGUAUGGUCGCAAGGCUGAA